rfam:Strongyloides papillosus strain LIN genome assembly, scaffold: SPAL_contig0000364
GACUUUGAGUGUAGGGGUUAAGACGUUGGUAUCACACACCAAAAAUCGCCGGUUCGAAUCCGGCCGGAAUCA